CCGCACGCGUCGGGAGAGCGCGUGGCUGCUCGUGCAAGCGAGAGUCGCGCCGCCGAAGGGGCACACCCACAAACUCUCAGGCAAAAGGACCGGCCGCGUCGAG
rnacentral:ncRNA from 1 species